ACCGCGACCCCAGGUCAGGCGGGAUUACCCGCUGAGUUUAGCAUAUC
rnacentral:rRNA from 1 species